CAUGAGAAAAUUCCAGGUGCACCAGUGUAUCCAAAGAUAUAUUAAUGCCCGUUAAUGAUCCCUCUCGCAUGUUCUACAUCUCCUGGUAUAAGAGUAAAAUGUAAAAAGGUGUAUCGUUUACAUACAUGUACCUUAUUGGUUUGUCCCUUUUUUGGGAGAUUUUAGGUCGCCAGUUUCUCCUCUUUGAAGAUCUUAAUUAGGUCGUAAAUGUUAUUUGGUGCGAAUUAUACUUUACUUACCAAAAAGAACAUAUGGAAAAAUCUUUAUUCAUAAGACAUGAUCAAGUAUGAUUCAUUAUUGUUAUGGCAAAUGUUAAAUUGAGUAAGUAAUCUUUGUUUUAAUGUAAUGCAUAUAUUAUUUCUCUUUUUAAAUAUAAGACCAAGAAUCGUAUGAGUUAAUAUUCUUUUUUCUUAAUAUUUUUGGCAAAAUUAAGUUAGGCUCCGUUUGGUAAGGCGUAAAACGUUUUCAUUGUAAGACGAUUUUCCAUGGAAAACAUUUUUCAAGGGAAAACACAAUUUCAAACUAGUUUUCCUUUGUUUGGUAACUUAAAGGAAAAUGAGAGAAGAUGGUGAAGAUUGAGGGGAAGAAAGGAGAGGGAGGUAAGGAGGAAAGAAGGAAAAGUGGUUUCCCUCCUUUUCAAAUGGAAAAGGGUUUUCCACCUUUGAGAGAGUAAUGAAAAAUUGUUUUCCAUCCCUUACCCAACCAAACAACGUAAAAUGAUUAAAAAGGGAAAAAUCGUUUUCCAUGAAAACGUUUUACGCCCUACUAAACGGAGCCUUAAUAUUUGAUUUGGAAUCCUAGAAGAUAAUAAGGAGUAUAAGAUAUAGAAAUCUACCAAAAUCAAUGGGUUUGUAAUUUUCCAUAGUUACGUUAGCUCUUUAUACAGAAUCAUGUCCAAUAAUAUUUGACUGGAAUUAAAGCUUCAAAGGAGUGAUAUGGAAUCAUAGAUAUAAUGGAAAGUUUAAAGGAAUUAUAUGAAAUAUAUCUUGUAUUAACAUAUUCUAUCAGUAAUCUACUGAAAUCAAUAUUAUUAAGGUAUGAAUAUAUAUUUUCUUUAAUUUCGUGGCUUUGAAAAUAUUGACAUUCCGAAAACACGAAGUAUAUUCAGACUAUAAAUUAAAACACAAUGUACUAUCACCAAUAUUAUUCACCUCUCAAUCAAAUAAAUUUAUUCACCUCUUAAUCAAAUAAAUUUGAGCAAUGGAAGCAAGUGGUAGAAUUACCCAUUUGUCGGCCUUCAUCGUUUUUUCACUCCUGGUCAUGGCACACUGUGAUGUUUAUGACGGUCAAAGCAAAGAAAGUUUUAAUGAUACUGGAAAUGGAAUAGGGUCGUCGAAAAUUCAUGUAGGUGAUUGUGUGAAUCGUCAGACUUUUUUUUGCCCUGGUGGUGGUAAAGAAUGCUAUUGUUGUUUUAUUACAAGGUGUUAUUCUACUCUGGAUGCGUGCCUUGCCCACUGCAAGUGAAGAUUUUUUUAGGAGAACUUUUAUGAUUGGAACCUAUUGAGAAUGUUACGGAGUAUGAUAUAUUUUAUGGAAGAUAUAAUGUUAUUUAUUUUUAAAUAAAUUAAUGAAUAUCUCUUCCGUUUCGUUUUUUUAUA